rnacentral:lncRNA from 10 species
ACGCCUCGGGUCUGCCACUGCCCCAGCGCGGGACUGGCUCCCGCGGUUCCCCGGGUCGGUCUGUGCGUGUGGGUUGGGGAGGUCUGCGUGGCCUCGGGGACUGCCCCUCGGUGCUGGGUGUCGGCAGGGGACGCAAGCCUAAGCUGCCUGUCUUGGGAGGGUGUGAUGGGGCCGUGGAGGAGGGUCUGCGCGUGGCUCUCCGGGAGUGCGGAGUGGAAGCCAAGCUUGCAGCCGACAUGGCCCAGAUAGGGUGGAGUGGCGGGUAAUGGCCUUGCAGGCCAUCCAGAGACGGGGAUCUUGCUAUGUUCCUCAGGCUGGUUUCGAACUCCUGGCCUCAACUGAUCCACCUGCCAUGGCCUCACAAACUUCUGGGAUUACAGACAUGAGCCACAGUAACCGGCCCAUUGGGUGCUUUUAAAGGAAUAAAUGGGACUCUAGGCCUGACGUGGGAUGUUUGGGUGGAUGUACCAAAGAACCUUGAGCCCCCAGAGUCCCCUGAAGCAUCCUGGCCAGCAGAAACUGCCUUCUUCCCAUUGACAGAGGAGGACAGCUUCAUCUAGCCUGGAGACAGUGCAGAGAUCUCCCCGUUACAGGCUGGGGGCAGUGGCUCACACCUGUAAUCCCAAAACCUUCGGAGGCCGAGGCAGGCGGAUCACCUGAGGUCGGGAGUUCGAGACCAGCCUGACCAGCAUGGAGAAACCCCGUCUCUACUAAAAAUACAAAAUUAGCCAGGCAUGGUGGCACAUACCUGUAAUCCCAGCUACUCAGGAGGCUGAGGUAGGAGAAUCACUUGAACCCAGGAGGCGGAGGUUGUGGUGAGCUGAGAUCGUGCCAUUGCACUCCAGCCUGGACAACAGUGGGCAACAAGAGCGAAAUUCUGUCUCAAAGAAAAAGAAAAAAAAAUUUUUUUUUCAUUGGCUGGGCGUGGUGGCUCACUUCUGUAAUCCAAGCACUUUGGGAGGCUGAGGCAGGCAGAUCACCUGAGGUCAGGAGUUCAAGACUAGCCUGACCAACAUGGUGAAACCCCGUCUCUACUAAAAAUACAAAACUUAGCUGGGCAUGGUGGUGCGUGCCUGCAGUCCCAGCUGCUCAGGAGGCUGAGGCAGGAGAAUCACUUGAACCUAGGAGGCAGAGGUUGCAGUGAGCUGAGAUCGCGCCAUUGCAGUCCAGCCUGGGUGACGGAGCGAGACUCUGUCU